GACUCUCGGCAACGGAUAUCUUGGCUCUCGCCACGAUGAAGAACGUAGCGAAAUGCGACACUUGGUGUGAAUUGCAGAAUCCCGUGAAUCAUCGAGUCUUUGAACGCAAGUUGCGCCCGAGGCUUCGGUCGAGGGCACGUCUGCCUGGGCGUCGCACUCCAA
rnacentral:rRNA from 1 species